CUGACCUCCCACUUCCUGAAUUGAUCACGAUUUUCGCUUUCCAGACAUCCUCUUCCUGAAAUGGAUGAGUGUUCCACCCCACAGCAGCAAACAUUAGCAGUAUCGGGAGUACUGGGGGUAGAACCCAGAGACUUGAACACACUCAGUCAUCAAGCAGCACUUCAUUUAAAGACAAGAGUGAGUUGAAGCUGUUAUUUGUAACCUCAGCCAUGCCUCAGAACGAUGAGAAGAAUCAGAAGUGCUGACAGCUUGGGAUGCAAGCUAGUAUUGGAAGAGUUUAUAAAUGGUAACAUUGAACAUCCAGUGGCAGGGGUUGGAGAUUCAUCGGUGACUCUGAAGAAUCAUUUGGUCCAAUGGUUUUGUAGCUUCAUUGCCAGAUCUAAUAACCCCCUUUGAGGGCAGGACCCCAUCUCUACUCUGCAAACCUUUCCCCAGUCUAUGGUGUCAAUGAGCAUCAAGUUUUCAUUAAUAAAAAACAGAAGAAACCAUCA
rnacentral:lncRNA from 1 species